CAUUAAAGAGUUCUAUAACUCCCAAACCCAUGUGAACAUACCUAACGUUGCCUCGGCAGGUCGCACCUACCUUGUAGCACCCUACCCUGUAGGGCCUACCCGGGAGGUGCGGGUAAGCCUGCCGGCGGCCCACCAAACUCUGUUUGAUAUUGAAUUCUGAACCUAUAACUAAAUAAGUUAAAACUUUCAACAACGGAUCUCUUGGUUCUGGCAUCGAUGAAGAACGCAGCGAAAUGCGAUAAGUAAUGUGAAUUGCAGAAUUCAGUGAAUCAUCGAAUCUUUGAACGCAUAUUGCGCCCAUUAGUAUUCUAGUGGGCAGGACCGUUCGAGCGUCAUUUCAACCCUUAAGCCUUCGUUGCUUAGUGUUGGGAGCCUACGGCAACGUAGCUCCUCAAAGUUAGUGGCGGAGUUGGUUCACACUCUAGACGUAGUAAUUUUUUAUCUCGCCUAUUAGUUGGACUAAUCCCCUGCCGUAAAACCCCUAAUUUAUCAAGGUUGACCUCGAAUCGGUUCAGACAAACUCGCUAAAUUGAAGCAUCUUAGUCAGCGAAGGAAAAGAAACCAACAGGGAUUGCCCUAGUAACGGCGAGUGAAGCGGCAA
rnacentral:rRNA from 1 species